rnacentral:rRNA from 1 species
GAUGAACGCUGGCGGCGUGCCUAAUACAUGCAAGUCGAGCGAACGGACGAGAAGCUUGCUUCUCUGAGGUUAUCGGCGGACGGGUGAGUAACACGUGGAUAACCUACCUAUAAGACUGGGAUAACUACGGGAAACCGGAGCUAAUACCGGAUAAUAUUUUGAACCUGAUGGGGCAAAAGUGAAAGAAGGUCUUGCUGUCACUUAUAGAUUGAUCCGCGCUGCAUUCGUAAGUUGGUAAGGUCAAUGCUUAGCAAAGCAACGAUGGAUAACGGACCUGAGAGGGACGACCGACAGCCGGGCAGUGAGACACGUCCCAGACUCCUACGGUAGGACGCGGUACGGAAUCUUCCGCAAUGGGCGAAAGCCUAAUGGAGCACAGCCGGGUGAAUGAUGAUCGUCCUCGGAUCGUUAAGUUAUGUUAUUAGGGAAGAAGAAAUGUGUAAGUACCUGUGAACAUCUUGACGGUACCUAAUCAGAAAGCUACGGCUAACUACGUG